rnacentral:rRNA from 1 species
GACGAACGCUGGCGGCGUGCCUAAUACAUGCAAGUCGAACGCAGUGGGGACGGGUGAGUAACCCGUGGGUAACCUCCCAUCAGAGGGGAUAACACUUGGAAACAGGUGCUAAACCGAUACUGAUGGAUGGACCCGCGGUGCAUGAGCUAGUUGGUGAGGUAACGGCUCACCAAGGCCACGAUGCAUAGCCGACCGGAGAGGUGGAUCGGCCACACUGGGACUGAGACACGGCCAAGACUACUACGGGAGGAAGCAGUAGGGAAUCUUCGACAAUGGACGAAAGUCUGACCGAGCAACGCCGCGUGUGUGAAGAAGGUUUUCGGAUCGUAAAACACUGUUGUUAGAGAAGCGGUAUCUAACCAGAAAGCAACGGCUAACUACGUGCCAGCAGCCGCGGUAAUUC